rnacentral:rRNA from 1 species
GUAGGAGGCGAGCGUUAUCCGGAUUCACUGGGCGUAAAGCGCGUGCAGGUGGUUCGGUAAGUUGGGCGUGAAAUCUCCCGGCUCAACUGGGAGAGGUCGUCCAAUACUACCGAACUUGAGAGCAGAAGAGGAAGAUGGAAUUCCCGGUGUAGUGGUGAAAUGCGUAGAUAUCGGGAGGAACACCAGUGGCGAAGGCGAUCUUCUGGUCUGUUUCUGACACUCAGACGCGACAGCUAGGGUAGUAAACGGGAUUAGAGACCCCGGUAAUCCUAGCCGUAAACGAUGUGAACUUGGCGUUGGUGGGUUAAACUCCAUCAGUGCCGAAGCAAACGCGAUAAGUUCACCGCCUGGGGACUACGGCCGCAAGGUUA